rnacentral:rRNA from 1 species
CCGGGAAACUGGGGCUAAUACUCAAUAGGGUAAGGAUGUCUGGAAUGAUUUCUCACUCAAAAGGCUUUGGAUACAUGCUUCCAUUGUCGCCUGGGGAUGGGGCCGCGUCCGAUCAGGUUGUUGGUGAGGUAACGGCUCACCCAAGCCUAUAACCGGUACGGGCCGUGAGAGCGGUAGCCCGGAGAUGGGUACUGAGACAAGGACCCAGGCCCUACGGGGCGCAGCAGUCGCGAAAACUCCGCAAUGCACGAAAGUGUGACGGGGCUACCCCGAGUGCCAUCCGCUGAGGAUGGCUUUUCUUUGGUAUAACAAGCCAUUGGAAUAAGGAGAGGGCAAGACUGGUGUCAGCCGCCGCGGUAAUACCAGCUCUCCGAGUGGUAGGGAUGAUUAUUGGGCCUAAAGCAUCCGUAGCUGGCUGAACAAGUCCUCUGUUAAACCCACCGAUUUAAUCGUUGGUCUGCGGGGGAUACUGCUCGGCUAGGGGACGAGAGAGGCAGACGGUAUUCCCGGGGUAGGGGUGAAAUCCUAUAAUCCCGAGAAGACCACCAGUGGCGAAGGCUGUCUGCUAGAACGCGCCCGACGGUGAGGGAUGAAAGCUGGGGGAGCGAACCGGAUUAGAUACCCGGGUAGUCCCAGCUGUAAACGAUGCAGACUAGGUGUUUGGACGGCCACGUGCCGUUCUAGUGCCGCAGGGAAGCUGUUAAGUCUGC